rnacentral:rRNA from 1 species
AGAGUUUGAUCCUGGCUCAGGAUGAACGCUGGCGGCGUGCCUAACACAUGCAAGUCGAACGGGGUUAUUUUGAUGAAGUCUUCGGAUGGAAUUGAGAUAACCUAGUGGCGGACGGGUGAGUAACGCGUGGGCAACCUGCCCCAUACAGGGGGAUAACAGCCGGAAACGGCUGCUAAAACCGCAUAAGCGCACACCGGCGCAUGCCGGAGUGUGAAAAUGUGUAUCGAAAGAUAUGCAGGUAUGGGAUGGGCCCGCGUCUGAUUAGCUGGUUGGUGAGGUAACGGCCCACCAAGGCGACGAUCAGUAGCCGGCUUGAGAGAGUGACCGGCCACAUUGGGACUGAGACACGGCCCAAACUCCUACGGGAGGCAGCAGUGGGGAAUAUUGCACAAUGGGGGAAACCCUGAUGCAGCGACGCCGCGUGAGUGAAGAAGUACUUCGGUACGUAAAGCUCUAUCAGCAGGAACGUAAGUA